GUCAACAUCUAAAUUUAGGAGAUUGCAUAUAUGUACACACAAAAAUCUGUCUUCUCUUGAAAAAUUAGAAGAUUUGGCAAUAUUGGGUCUGCAUGGUGAAUUGUUUGAAGUAGAAUAGUGGCUGCCCAUUUAAAACAGUCGACAAAUAUAAUUAAAGAAAACAGCCUAGAUGCCCUAUGAAAUAAACCACUGGAAGAACAAAGACCAGGGAUGUGGAAGAGAUGUGAUCAAAACCUAAUGUACUGCCAAGAGAACUGAAAUGUCAACAAGCAGAAAUUGCUUUCUGCUGGAAGUUAAAAGUGGAAUACAUCACAGACGCAGAGCUCACCACCUGUAAGCUGGAUCUCCUCCUAGGGUUUGGACCACAGAGUGUUCCAGGUGCUGUUUGAUGAAUUGGACACAUAACACGGCAGUCUCCUCACGGCAGGUUAUGCUGUUUUAAUUCCUGACUUGUCUGGAAAGCCACGGGCUCUACCUGGAGGGUUGCUCGAGGCUGGAAAAAGACCUUUUAGGCUGUAAAACCAAAGGCAAUGAUGGGGUGCGAGAAAAUCGCUUUUCAGGGUCCCUUGCCGAAUCCGGCUCGUUGAAUAAACCUGGUACAAGAUGAUUUUGGGGGAGAGGGGAUUUCAAAAUUCUACUGAUUCACCCCAUGAACUAAAAAGACCCUCUUCCUAGAAGGGGAGAGGCGGCUGAGUGCUGAGCCGUCUGCACCCGGAGGCCGAGCAGUGGGGAGGCCUCCGGAAGCCCGUGGUUUUCCCUAUUUUCUCAGGAACACCGGAUGAUUUUUCUCUUACCUAGACAUUUGUGGGAGGAGGUAGAGGAAGGGAAGAAGAGAAAAGAGUGGGAAAAGGCUGGAAGGACCCGGACUGAAUUACUGGCACUCACAUAGGGAAAAAGAAGUAGACGGUCUUUCCAGUCUGUGCUGGCAGGAAAAGCCAGGGCAUAUGGCUCCACAGGAAGGGGUGCAGCUCACACCUCUGCAGCUCCGAAUCCAACCAACAUGCUUCCCAACGUGUAAAUGUAUGGCUGCCCAAACCCAGAAACCAUCGCCAGAAAACUUCCGUGGGCUUCUUGAGGACACCAGGGAGAUAGCGAAACCCCAGUUUGUCCCCUUGUGGCUGGACAAGCCUGCUUCCUUCACUCCUGGGACCUGCAACACAGUGGACCAGGCCAUAG